rnacentral:rRNA from 1 species
UGGGGAAUAUUGGACAAUGGGGGAAACCCUGAUCCAGCGAUGCCGCGUGUGUGAAGAAGGCCUGAGGGUUGUAAAGCACUUUUAGUGGGGAGGAGUAUUUAUAGGUUAAGAGCUAAUGAAUAGGACGUUACCCAAAGAAAAAGCACCGGCUAACUCCGUGCCAGCAGCCGCGGUAAUACGGAGGGUGCGAGCGUUAAUCGGAAUAACUGGGCGUAAAGGGUGCGUAGGCGGUUCGUUAAGUUGUGGGUGAAAUCACUGGGCUCAACCUGGUGUGGAAUCAUGAUACUGGCGAGCUAGAGUACAGGAGAGGGUAGUGGAAUUUCCGGUGUAGCGGUGAAAUGCGUAGAGAUCGGAAGGAACACCAGUUGCGAAGGCGGCUACCUGGACUGAGACUGACGCU